CAGACUGGGGGUUAGGAAACUUCCCCAGAGAGUGGUCAGGCACUGGAAUGGGCUCUCCAAUGCAGUGGUCACAGCACUGAGCAGUGGGAGUUAAAGAAAGGUGCAACUGACAUUGAUUCUGGUGCCUCCUGUGGUUGAUCAGAAGCAAGAUAGCAGCACUCAAAGUUUACAAAUAUCCCAGAAUACCUGGCAGUCCCCCUGGGCUUUCAAGGUCAAGUCUUCAGUGAGCACCUGCGAAAGAGAUAAACUUUCCCAACAAAGCUCUCUGAGAGCAGAGAGAGAUUCAUUCUAAAAGCUAAAAAGCAGAUUUUGCCCACAUUCUCCACCAAGAAAUGUUGACGGUUUACGGGCUGGUAUGGCCCAGUUCUGUGACUGGCCGGGCAGAGGGAUCUGCAGAUCCACACUUCUGGAAAGGGGAAACAGGGAACCCCAAAAUAAUUAAAAACAGUGGCAACAAUCUGAGGAGAAACAAACUCAUUUACUAAAUAUGGUAUUGGAAUGCAACACACUAUAAUACAAUAUACUUAGAACUGAAGCUAAUAAAUCAAAUGUAAUGAGAGAAAGAGUGUCUGAGAACUGAAGGCCUCUCCAUACGCUGAGGUGAGAUGUGCAGUCAGGCGAGCAGCAUGGAGGAGAGCUUAAGGAAAAAGGGGACAUCAGGUGACUUUGCCAGAGGUUAUAUCUCCUCUCUGACUGCAAAGCUCCCUGGAGAAUGUAGUUCUUGUCUUCCAGACAGGUGCCUGGAACUGGAGUGUUAACACAGUAACUUCCAGUGCACUACAUGAUGUUAUGAUGUGGAAUACCAGUAACAAUCACAAAAAAUCAUAAAACCAUGACAAUAUUUCAUUAAGAUCUUUAGAGAAACAGAAUCAAAUAAUAGCUAUAUAUCAGCAGAAGUUUACCUUUAGAGUCUUAUGUUAUGAGCGUAUAUAUGGACAGUGUAAUAUAUACAUAGUGAUUUAGAGGAAUUUCAGAACAGCUCUGUACUGUAGGUUGAAGUCUAAAUUGACUUAAUUUCCACAUUUCUAGAAUAACAAGUGUUCUUAUUUGCAAAGGUUUAAAAUAGAGAGGCUCCUUACAGUGUUAAAAAAGAUGUGAAGGACCUUUAGUGUGAUUAAAAUUGGUAUCAAUAUGUACUCUAAUGUGAGACUAGCUUGUUAUAUUCCACAGCAUCAUAUGUUUUGAUGCUAAGAAUGCAUUGAAAGGAGGGCAACAAAUACAGUAAAAAGUUUAGAGGCUAUAACUUAUGAGGAAUGCUUGAAGAUAUUUGGUUAGUUCACCUUACAGAAGAAGAGACCAAGGGAAGACAUCAUGGUCUACAACUUCUUCCUUGUGGGGGGUGGAGAGGGAGGCACUGAUCUCUCUGGUGAAAGCAAUAGGACUAGAGGGAGUAACUUAGGGUGUACUGAGGAAAUUCACACUGAGUGUUAGGAAGCUUCUUCACUAGAAGGGUGGUCAAGUGCUGGAACAGGCUUUCCAGAGAAGUGAUCGCAGCACCAGCAAUGUCAGUGUUCAAGAACAAUCUGGACAAUGCUUUGAGAUCACAGAAUGGCAGGGUUUGGAAGGGACCUGUUGUGAUCACCUAGUUGAUCCCCUGCUAAAGCAACUUCCUUAGAGAGGGCUGCACAGGAAAGAGUCCAGGAAGGUCAUGAAUAUCUCCAGAAAAGGAGACUUCGCUACUUCUAUGGACAACCUGUUCCAGUGCUCUGUUACCCCCAAAGCAAAGGAGUUCUUCCUCAUGUUUAGAUGUGUUCCAGUUUGUGCCCUUUUCCCUUUGUCCUAUUCCUUGGCACCAGUGAAAAGAGCCUGGCUCCAUCCUUUUCACACUUGCCCAUAUUUAUUGGUGUAGAUACCCUCUCAGUUUUCUCUUUUCCAGGCUCAACAGUCCCAGAUCUUUCAGCCUUUCCUCAUAAGGGAGGUGCUUAAUCAUCUUUGUUGCCCUCUGCUGGACUCUUUCUUGUAGUCCUCUCUUUCUGGAAUUGAUGAGCCGGGAACUGGACACAGAACCCCAGAUUUGGCCUCAGCAGGGCAAUGUGGAGGGGGAAGAGAAGCUCCUAUGUUAAAUGGUUUAACUGUUAGGUUGCCCUGUGUAGAGUCAGAAGUUGUACUCAGUGAUGCUAAUGGAUCCCUUCCAUCUCAGUAUAUUCAAUAGUUCUCUAAUUCCUGUUAUGAGUUUACUGAUUUUCUUCCAAACACAAUUUUUUUUCUAUAUUAAUAACAAUGCAUUGUAAUGCAAAGUUAGAGUGAACAAUUUAUGUUUAACAAGCUCCUUCUUCUCAAUUUUGAACAAACUAUGAUUUUUUAAAGCAUUAUUUUGUAUAUAUAUUUUUUCAGACUAUUACAAGUAGUGGUGUUAGCACAUGCUAACCUGUUUCUCAGGUCUUUUCAUUCCCUUUGUCUACCCUUUUUUCUUCCUCUCAACUUUUUUUGUUGUUGUUUUUAAAAAGAAAAUACACAGAAA
ensembl:lncRNA